CAAACCUUUUCUGAUCUUCUUUCCUAAUUGGAAUGGAAAAGAAUAUGUUGUCCAAAUCAAUGGCUAAAAACUAGGUACCUGAAGUUUUAUUAAUCUGCUUAGCACAGUAUCACAUCUGGCACAGUAACUAUAAUCAUCAGGUUUACUACUUGAUUAAGUCUGUAAUAGUACACAGUUAUUCUCCAGGACCCAGCUGGUUUCUGCACGGACCACAUUGGCACCAUCCACCCUCCCCAUGCAUUUUAAAUGCCUGCAUCAUCAUAUUUGCUACAGCAUUUUACUUCACCAGGAUAUUUUUCCAGGUCAUCAUGAGUGAAGUCUUGAGCCACUGAGCCACUACCACCUUGUGCCAAAUACUAUCUGUGCCCUGCCUGCCAACCAGGAUGACAACCCUUCACCUGCCAGGUGGAGAGAGACAGCAGCAGGCUAACUAGUUGUCUGUUAAGAACAUCCAGAGCAGGACCAGAAUCUGGGCCAGGAACUGAGAGACAGAUUGGGACAACGGAACAAAUCUACCAGGGUAUGCUGGCCAACUUAGUCUUCUAUUAUGAUCAAGGAAGGAUGGCGCCUGAGAGGUCAUUACUAUGUGACUGGUCUUCAUAUAUUGCUUCUAUGUUUGAUUCUUCCUCCAGAAAUGUUUCAAUAGCAAACUCAAUGAGUUUACGUAGCCAGAAUCUUAGUCAAUAACCUACUCUGCAGUAUCUUAGGGCUGACUUUGUACAUAUGGAAGUCAGCCAGAUCUCAUGAGUGGAUCAUUAAGCUAGAAUUAUUUUCUUGGCACACGUUACAGUAAGGUAAUAUAUGACCUAGGCCUAAGGCAGGCCAUCAACCUGUCAAGAGUAAUGACCCCCAGGGGUAAGGCCUUGCUGUCUCCACCUCAAGGAUGGGUCUUCAAAGUGGAGACAAUAUAGUCCCUAUGGUUUCUACAUGCUUAAUGAGUCUGUUAUGUGAAUUAUAAAGAUAAUAUCUAUGGGGACUUUGAGCUCCUACAAUAAAAAUGUAUAAAUAUAAUCCAAGAAAUUCUGGUAGACAAACAUUGUAAUAAUGCAUAUCAGUCUUUGUAUCUCCAUUUAGUUUUUUUAAAACUUGGCUUGUGUCCAGAAGUAUGCACAGAUAUACAUAGCAAAUGCUCAGUGCUGAAUGUUUAGCUAAAUCCUGUGCUUCAAAGCAAGGAUGAAUAGAUUUUCAUCAGAGCUCAGGACCUGAACUGUAGGCUUCCCUCACAAUGAGAAGUAAAGCUAAGUAUAGGUGAAUCCUGAGUGGCACAUAUUCUAUGAGAGUUUUAUACAUAAUUUGAAUGAUUGAUAUGCUGCAUCUUUCAUUGAAAUGAUUGUCAACCAAUAUUAUUUCAAGUGUUAUUUCCAUGCUAUUUCUAGUUCUGUAUGUUUUACGUAAUUAUAAAUGGCUUCAUAUUUUCAUGUAACAUUGUAUGAUAUGAUUUGGGUUCUAACAGGUUAUCCUUGACACCAGUAUAGAAUACCCAGAAUUAAUUUAAGGUAUAUUAUCAAACCACUAAAAUUAGGAUGUCCAUGAAUUCUGAAGGAGAAAAUAUCAUUUAGAUUGUGUGUGUGUGUGUGUGUGUGUGCGCGUGUGUGUGUGUCCUCUAAGUUUUAAACAUGAGGUGGUUAUAUAAAGGGGACUUCUAAAUUGGGAGAGGAUGAAAAUGGGCUAAAUAUUUCAAACAAACUUCAGUGUGAAAUCAGUAGUAUAUUCAGUAGAGGUGACAGGGAAAAAAGCUGUGGAGGAGAAAAGAGAACAAGAAAAUCAGGAAGCAGUAAAAAUGAUGACUGAGGUCAGGUGGUAAUGGUAACAUCAAGAAACUUGAAUCUGAUGGAAAAAAACCACGGGUAGCUAUAAAAGGGGCAUUCGAAAUAGGAAAUGAUGUGAGAGGAGAAGAUAAUUUUAGUAUAGUUAAAGGAGGUAGCAGCUAUAGGUGUGAAGAGAACGGAUUAAUUUUAAAUGUGUCCCAGAAGUAAGAGAAAUAUUUUUUUGAGGAGUGGGGGAGGAACAAUGAGAUAAACCUGGUUGAGUGUUUUAUGGUUAUCUCAAGUAAGAGUCCACUUGGAGUAUUAUGUCCAUUUUUGGACACCAUACUUUCAUAGGCAUGUUGAUGAACCAGGUCAUUCAAGACACCAGGGUAGUGAGAAGUGUGUUAAUAGUGCUUCUACCAGAGAGUUAGAGUGACAUGGCAGCUGUCCUCAUAUCUAUCGAUCUGUCAUAAGGAAGAAAGAUCACAUGCCUCUGCAUUGUUUAAAAGAAAGAAACAGACCCAAAGAAAGUCAGGAGGCAGAUUUUGCUCAAUAUAAUGAUCUAACAAUUAGAUGUGCCCUGUAACAGAGUGCGCUAUUGUAAAGUAAUGUUCUCCCAUCUUUCCAAGUAUUCAAGCAGAGAAUAGUCAAUAAUACAACUAACGACUGGAAGGGUUUCUUUUAUUCUAAGGUACUAUCAGAUGGAGGAACAUGUAGUUUGUGGUCAGUGACCUCAGGUUCUCACAUUCACGGUGCUGCAUCCUGGUUUUCAUUUGGGGACUGUUUUCUGGCACUCCCGCCUGUCUGGAGGUGAGAUAUGCUUGUUAUGACAACCCUUCUGUCACAAUAAAUUGGCUGGUGCAUUCAGUGUCAUCUAUGGCUUUUUACUUCUAUUAAUUCAUUAAUUCCGGGCCCCCAAGCGAAAGUUUCCAAAGGCCUUUUUUCUUCUUUGUUAAUUAUAACAUGAUAUCAAUCAGCACCCAAGCAGAAACUAGAAGAGUAUUCAAACUAGGUAAUUUGAGGAGAGUUUAAUAAAGCAACAGCUUACAAAGAUGUGGACAGUGGCUUAAGGAAGCCACUAAAGGAUGGCACAGUCCUCCAGGCUUGUGAUCAGGGGAGUCAUUACCAUCCCCCAGCCUGAAGAUCAAGAGGCUGGAGCUAUUUCCAGACCCUGAAGAGGGUGGUUGUAUGGAGAGGACUAUCUGAAAGAAGAGGCUGUAGCCAACACAAGAAAGCCAGGGAAUAAAUAAUCCAUCCUCACUCUCCUGCUGUUGCCUCUCAAUGGCCAAACCCAACCAUGAGCUGGGCAUGAAGGGAGCUAGCUGACAGCUAUAUGGCUCAGCUUCCUGGGGCCCAGAGCAGAGUGGAGCUGAGAAGAGAGUGAAUCUGGAGGGGUUAAUGGAAGAAACCACAGAAAGCAAAUUCCUCCCUGAGAUACAGUUGGUGCUUAGGCAAUAUUUGUACUGACAGGAAUGUGGCCACAUAUUUUGGAAAAGCUCAGGGACUCAAUCCUCUGCUAGCUGCUUUGAGGCCAUGUCUGCCGAAGUCACUGUCCUCUACAGGGUUUUUUCCUCAUGUUCAGUGUUUAGUCCUUUCCACCUUCACGAAAACGAUGCCUACUUAAUAUACAGAAAGGAGGACAUACAGAAAUUUUUCAUCUUAAUUGGAUAUUACAGUUGCCCCACUUUGGAGCCAAGAAGAGCUGAAUAAAGCUGAGAAACACCUAAACAGAAAGGCAAGUUUACCAUGAAGUAAGAAACGUAAGCUUUGGACCCCUUAAUUGCUUGAGCCUCCGUUAUUGUCUUCAGAAGGAGAGUAAAAAGAAUGCUGGGUAGAAGAAAUACCUGAAGAAAUAAUGGCCCAACCUCAAAUUUGGUGAAAGACAUAAACUUACAGAUUCAAGAAACUGAGUGUUCCCCAAACAGAAUAAACUUUAAAGAAUCCACACUCAAACACAUCAUAAUCAAACUUCUGAAAACUAACAACAAAGAAAAACUUAAAAUCAGCAAGAGAGAAACCACACAUUAUCAACUGAUGAAAAGUGACUCAAGUGACAGCAGAUUUAUAAUCAGAAACUUGAAGGACAGAAGGAAGAGGCAAAACAUUUUGAAAGCCCUAAAAGGAAAGAACUGUCAACCCAGAAUUCGACAUCCAGUAAAAAUAUCCGUCAAGAAUGAAUAUGAAGGAAAGCUAAGAAUGAAUAUAUCUUCUAUUUCUUUGCUAAAUUUUUCUACUUUUUCAUUUGAUGUAAGAGUGUUUAUAAGUGCUUAUGGAGCAUUUUUAUGAUAGUUGGUUUACAAUCCUUGUCUGAGAGUAGCUAUGUGAGAUGACGUAUAUAGUAAAUGGUGACUGUAGUAACCAUUUCACUACAUAUAAGUAUGUCAAAACAUGUUGUACACCUUAAAUAUACACAAAAAAUAGCUCUGACACAAAAAAUGCAUAGUUGUUAUUACCAUGUAUAAAUAAAAAUACUUGUAAGUUUAGAAAAUAAAAUCAUUGUCUGAUAAUUAUCUAAAUAAUAAAGUCCA
rnacentral:lncRNA from 1 species